GGCUCGGUAGCUCAGUUGGUAGAGCAGAGGACUGAAAAUCCUCGUGUCGGCGGUUCGAUUCCGUCCCGGGCCA
rnacentral:tRNA from 1 species